rnacentral:rRNA from 1 species
GAUUUCUGGUCUAGUAUCACUUGACCCGUCAUGGUCACAUGAUUGUGUGUCGAUGUGUACUUACCAUCCUUCUAGAACAUUUUUUAUCAUUCUUUAUUGAAUGUAUGAAAAAUUGUACUAGAUCUUUUACUUUGAAAAAAUUAGAGUGUUUAAAGCAGGCAUUGUUUGCUAUGAAUACAUUAGCAUGGAAUAAUCAUCUAGGACUAUUAUCGGUCUUAUUUUGUUGGUUUCGCGGGCUGAAGUCAUGAUUGAUAGGGAUAGUUGGGGGUGCUAGUAUUCAGUGGCCAGAGGUGAAAUUCUCGGAUUCACUGAAGACUGACUUAUGCGAAAGCAUU